GCAGAUGUGGCGGAAUAGGUAGACGCUACAAAUUACAGACAGGAUGCCGACCUCUCAAAUGGCGGAGACCGAUGCGCUGUAAGGUCAUGCGGGGUGCAAAUCCCCGCCAUCUGCGCCA
rnacentral:tRNA from 1 species